rnacentral:lncRNA from 1 species
GAUGGACUAGCUGGGGCAAAUUAUUACAUUACAAUAUAGAAUAAAGUUAAAAGGACAGAAAGAUAUACACUAGAGGUUCUAGCUGCAAUACCUGUACAUGGAUUUUUUCAAGUUCUAUAUAUAUUUUCUUUAUUCUACCAAUUUCAGCAAUUUAUCAUCACUCAAAACCUCAGCUGCAGUAACAACACUCCUCAUCACAUCAACUUGUACUUUAAGAGAAAGAAUGUAGUCCAUUGCUUCUUUGAUCAGGGAGACUUCAUCCAUGGAUUCUCCACCAGCUUCAACGGCGAUUCGGACCCUAAUAAUUGGCUCACAAGAAUGGUGUCUUGCUUGUUUUUCUUAGCCUCGGAUAUUAGUGCAUUGCUCCAUGAAGUUGCUGUCUUUUUAGCAGAAGCCAUGGCAAUGUCUGCAGAUAGCUUUAUUUUCUUCUUUC